GACAGACAGACAGAGGGGUUACAAAACACAUCCAACUUCACCUGGAGGGGACAGACAGACAGAGAGGUUACAAAACACAUCCAACUUCACCUGGAGGGGACAGACAGACAGAGAGGUUACAAAACACAUCCAACUUCACCUGGAGGGGACAGACAGACAGAGAGGUUACAAAACACAUCCAACUUCACCUGGAGGGGACAGACAGACAGAGGGGUUACAAAACACAUCCAACUUCACCUGGAGGGGACAGACAGACAGAGAGGUUACAAAACACAUCCAACUUCACCUGGAGGGGACAGACAGACAGACAGGUUACAAAACACAUCCAACUUCACCUGGAGGGGACAGACAGACAGAGGGGUUACAAAACACAUCCAACUUCACCUGGAGGGGACAGACAGACAGAGGGGUUACAAAACACAUCCAACUUCACCUGGAGGGGACAGACAGACAGAGGGGUUACAAAACACAUCCAACUUCACCUGGAGGGGACAGACAGACAGAGAGGUUACAAAACACAUCCAACUUCACCUGGAGGGGACAGACAGACAGAGGGGUUACAAAACACAUCCAACUUCACCUGGAGGGGACAGACAGACAGAGAGGUUACAAAACACAUCCAACUUCACCUGGAGGGGACAGACAGACAGAGGGGUUACAAAACAGACAGAUACAAUUAUAAUCUCCACCCGGCACAGCCAGAAGAGGACUGGCCACCCCACAUAGCCUGGUUCCUCUCUAGGUUUCUUCCUAGGUUUUGGCCUUUCUGGGGAGUUUUUCCUAGCCACCGUGCUUCUACACCUGCAUUGCUUGCUGUUUGGGAUUUUAGGCUGGGUUUCUGUACAGCACUUUGAGAUAUCAGCUGAUGUACGAAGGGCUAUAUAAAUAAAAUUUGAUACACACACGGACGGACACAGAGACAGACGAAACAAAUAUCUGAAUUCAUUACCCACAACUUCAGCCUAAGAGAUGCAAGGUGUCACCACCAGGGGGAGUCAGCGGGUUGACACACAGUCAGUUCCACAAGUUCACUAAACUAUCCUGCAUGUCCGGCAAUAGCAUUCCACGUCAACAAUCUCAUCUGGGUUCUCAGUGAAAUGUAUCCUACAUCUUUUAGUAUAAAUAAGAAUAAAAAGGCAACAA